ACAACAACAAGGCUAAUUAUUUUAAGGAUAGACGAGUGUGGAAUCCCAAAGGCAAACACAAGUCUGUCCUGGGCAAUAUUAUGCAGGAGCAAUAGGCAUGAAAAACUGAAUUCAUACAGAAGCAGUUGAAUUAAACUAAAACCUCACAAAAUGUGAAUAUUGGAAGCUGUCUUUCAAACGAAGACCAUCCUUAGACACAUCUACAUACACGCCCUACAUAUGAAGUUUAUGGUUACGAAACAGCCGGUGCCAGAGACAGACGCAGAGGCAGAGGUGGACGCGGAGGUUGGAAAGUCACCAAACCAAG
rnacentral:sRNA from 1 species